rnacentral:rRNA from 1 species
AUUGAACGCUGGCGGCAUGCUUUACACAUGCAAGUCGAACGGUAACAGGCCUUCGGGUGCUGACGAGUGGCGAACGGGUGAGUAAUGCAUCGGAACGUACCCAGAGGUGGGGGAUAACGCAGCGAAAGCUGUGCUAAUACCGCAUGUGAUCUGAGGAUGAAAGCGGGGGACCGAGCAGCAAUGUUUGGCCUCGCGCCUUUGGAGCGGCCGAUGGCGGAUUAGCUAGUUGGGGGGGUAAAGGCCUACCAAGGCGACGAUCCGUAGCUGGUCUGAGAGGACGACCAGCCACACUGGGACUGAGACACGGCCCAGACUCCUACGGGAGGCAGCAGUGGGGAAUUUUGGACAAUGGGCGCGAGCCUGAUCCAGCAAUGCCGCGUGCGGGAAGAAGGCCUUCGGGUUGUAAACCGCUUUUGGCAGGAACGAAACGGUGUCCGCUAAUACCGGGCGCUAAUGACGGUACCUGCAGAAUAAGCACCGGCUAACUACGUG